rnacentral:lncRNA from 1 species
CCAAAUUAACUUGCCAAAAUGAGCACGUGAUGGUUUUCUCAUAUUCACAUAAUUCGGUCUCAAUAAUGAUAGAUAGCAAUGAAAUCUACAUAUGUUAGAUAAGAAAUCAUGUGUUGAUUCUCUCCACAUGAUUCUCUCCUCAAUCCAACUUUUCUUUGCUGCAACACUCUUACUUGAUCUGAAUGACUGAAUGUUAGUAAUCAUUCUGUAAGUGGUUAAAACCAUAGUGAAUAUGUGAAAAAGAAAAGGCAUAUAUACAGUUUGUUUAAAUGUCAUUUUGCUUUGACAAGCUUUCAUCCAUUAUUUUUAUCCAAUAUGAAUAUGUGAUUAAAAUUAACUAAUGAAAGAUUAAGAUCUUUUUUUUUUUUUUGUCAAAGUAGCCUAGUGGCUANNNNNNNNNNNNNNNNNNNNNNNNNNNNNNNNNNNNNNNNNNNNNAAUUCGGGGUUCGAACCCCGGCCACUCCGAUAAUAUCUCUGGUAGCUACCAUUUUAGUUACAUUUAUGGGACGAAAGAUUGAGCUUUUAAGUUGGGAUUUAGUUAAAAGAUUUUGUGCGGGUCCAAAAACAAAUGUAACACAUUUUUCACAAACUCGAAGAAUUUUACAGAUAAACCUGUUGGGAUAUGAAAGGAAAGCCAUAGAAACAAUUUCAACAAAGAGAUAAGAUAGAGCAAUAGAAAUAAAAAAUGCAGCAGAGCACAUGUAAGCAACCAAUUCUAAGUGCUACAAGUGCUUGUUUUGCGAGGAGCUGUUUGUCGUAAGAACGAAACAUUUUGCAAGUGCUUUCUUGUUUUGUGCGAAGCAUAAUUGGAUCAUACCUUGGUAGUGGAAUCAUUGGAGUCUUCCAUGCAACACUUGAAAUAAUUGGACACCAACUCUGCGAUCAAAUGUUCAGAUUAGUACAAUCCUCACUAGUUCUAUUGAAACGAGAAAACAAAAUUGGCCACGUAAUAAAGAGAAAAAUCCAGAAUCAACUCAACUCCAGAAAUUUACAACCAGCUCUUUUGAAAUUAAGCUAUAUCUUACACACAUCUUUAAAAUACACUGUCAAAAAGGCAAAGAGAGUUAUCAGCUUUUGGUAAAUGAAAUGCCAUAUGAAGAACUGAAGAAAAGCAAAC